AUUGAACGCUGGCGGCAGGCCUAACACAUGCAAGUCGAGCGGAGCGGCGGACGGGUGAGUAAUGCCUAGGAAUCUGCCUGGUCGUGGGGGAUAACGUCCGGUAACGGGCGCUAAUACCGCAUCCUAUCAGAUGAGCCUCGGUCGGAUUGGCUAGUUGGUGGGGUAAAGGCCUACCAAGGCGACGAUCCGUAACUGGCCUGGGUGGAGGAUCAGUCACACUGGAACGGAGACACGGUCCAGACUCCUACGGGAGGCAGCAGUGGGGAAUAUUGGGCAAUGGGCGAAAGCCUGAUCCAGCCAUGCCGCGUGUGUGAAGAAGGUCUUCGGAUUGUAAAGCACUUUAAGUUGGGAAGCGUUACCAACAGAAUAAGCACCGGCUAACUUCGUGCCAGCAGCCGCGGUAAUUC
rnacentral:rRNA from 1 species